rnacentral:rRNA from 1 species
UACAGAGGGGGCAAGCGUUGUUCGGAAUUACUGGGCGUAAAGGGCGCGUAGGCGGCCACCUAAGUCGAACGUGAAAUCCCUGGGCUCAACCCAGGAACUGCGUCCGAUACUGGUUGGCUUGAAUCCGGGAGAGGGAUGUGGAAUUCCAGGUGUAGCGGUGAAAUGCGUAGAUAUCUGGAGGAACACCGGUGGCGAAGGCGACAUCCUGGACCGGUAUUGACGCUGAGGCGCGAAAGCCAGGGGAGCAAACGGG